GUAACCGUCCAUAAAUAAGUUAGGCAACUAAGGUAUUUUAAGGUUACCCGUCUAAGUUCUUCGGAACUACGUUAGGAAUGAAAAUAUAGGCACCUUGAGAUGCUUCGGAAGUUUCAAGCUCUGCG
rnacentral:sRNA from 17 species